CUCUAUGAUACCACGUUACAAAUUGACUAAGCAUACUUAUUAUUAUCCUAUUUUAUUUUAGUUAUUUCACAUUGCGCAGCCUAUGCAAACAAUGUCUAGGUCCCAACUUCAGCUUGUACAUCCUCUAAGAGCCAGCAUUAAUACUGUUUUAUCACUCAAAACUAUAUAUAAGGUAUUAAAAACAUGAACCAUCUGUGUAUUAGGCUGGGGUUGUUGGGUGUGGGUAUAGGUUGGAAGCUGUGGUUGGUAUUGAGGAACCUGCCAGGGUGGGUCCUUGAACGCCAGCUGGGCCAGGUUCUCCCUUAGCACCGGGUUCUCCUUUGUUUCCUUGAGCACCAGGUUCACCAUUGUUACCCUUAGGUCCAGGGGAACCUCUGGGGCCUUGAGGUCCAGGAGCACCACAGGCACCAGGGAAGCCAGGGGCACCAGCAAUACCAGUGGGGCCAGCUUGACCGGGAGAACCGGGUUCACCACGAGCACCUUGGGGUGAAUCCCUGCUAUCCAUAAUUAAAACAGUGCUGAAGUUACCACCUCUACAAAAGUUAGACCCUUUGAUCAAAUCCUCUACCUCUGCCUCUAAAACUUUUCUGAUUCAAUCUCCUAUCACCUCCCAAAUGUCCUUGUCUCGCCUGCUUAAGAUCACAAUCCUUUGUGAC